UACGUAGGAGGCGAGCGUUGUCCGGAUUUACUGGGCGUAAAGCGCGCGCAGGCGGCAGUGCAAGUAAGGUGUGAAAUCUCCCUGCUCAACGGGGAGGGUGCACUUUAGACUGCACAGCUCGAGGUCGGUAGAGGGGGGUGGAAUUGCUGGUGUAGCGGUGAAAUGCGUAGAGAUCAGCAGGAACACCCGUGGCGAAAGCGGCUCUCUGGAACGGUACUGACGCUGAGACGCGAAAGCGUGGGGAGCGAACAGG
rnacentral:rRNA from 1 species